rnacentral:rRNA from 1 species
ACUCAAAGGAAUAGACGGGGGCCCGCACAAGCGGUGGAUCAUGUGGUUUAAUUCGAAGCAACGCGAAGAACCUUACCUGGAUUUGACAUCCUCUGACACCCGUAGAGAUACGGUUUUCGUAGCAAUACGACAGAGAGACAGGUGCUGCAUGGCUGUCGUCAGCUCGUGUGGUGACAUGUUGGGUUAAGUCCCGCAACGAGCGCAACCCCUAUCUUUAGUUGCCAGCAUUCAGUUGGGCACUCUAGAGAGACUGCCGUGGUUAACACGGAGGAAGGUGGGGAUGACGUCAAGUCCUCAUGGCCUUUAUAUCCAGGGCGACACACGUGAUACAAUGGUCGGUACAGAGGGAAGCGAAUGCGCGAGCAGGAGCAAAUCUCAAAAAGCCGAUCUCAGUUCGGAUUGGAGUCUGCAACUCGACUCCAUGAAGUUGGAAUCGCUAGUAAUCGCGGAUCAGCACGCCGCGGUGAAUACGUUCCCGGGCCUUGUACACACCGCCCGU